UACAGAGGCCUCGAGCGUUAGGCGGAAUCACUGGGCUUAAAGCGUGUGUAGGCGGAGUGCUAAGUACCUUGUGAAAUCCCACAGCUCAACUGUGGAAUUGCUUGGUAUACUGGCAUUCUUGAGCCAUCUAGGGGCGAGCGGAACAAAUGGUGGAGCGGUGAAAUGCGUAGAUAUCAUUUGGAACGCCAACGGUGAAAACAGCUCGCUGGGGAUGUGCUGACGCUGGAG
rnacentral:rRNA from 1 species